GUGAGUAACACGUGGGUAACCUGCCUGUAAGACUGGGAUAACUCCGGGAAACCGGAGCUAAUUACCGGAUAGUUCCUUGAACCGCAUGGUUCAAGGAUGAAAGACGGUUUCGGCUGUCACUUACAGAUGGACCGCGGCGCAUAGCUAGUUGGUGAGGUAACGGCUCACCAAGGCGACGAUGCGUAGCCGACUGAGAGGGUGAUCGGCCACACUGGGGCUGAGACACGGCCCAGACUCCUACGGGAGGCAGCAGUAGGGAAUCUUCCGCAAUGGACGAAAGUCUGACGGAGCAACGCCGCGUGAGUGAUGAAGGUUUCGGAUCGUAAAGCUCUGUUGUUAGGGAAGAACAAGUGCAAGAGUAACUGCUUGCACCUUGACGGUACCUAACCAGAAAGCCACGGCUAACUACGUGCCAGCAGCCGCGGUAAUACGUAGGUGGCCAGCGUUGUCCGGAAUUAUUGGGCGUAAAGGGCUCGCAGGCGGUUUCUUAAGUCUGAUGUGAAAGCCCCCGGCUCAACCGGGGAGGGUCAUUGGAAACUGGGAAACUUGAGUGCAGAAGAGGAGAGUGGAAUUCCACGUGUAGCGGUGAAAUGCGUAGAGAUGUGGAGGAACACCAGUGGCGAAGGCGACUCUCUGGUCUGUAACUGACGCUGAGGAGCGAAAGCGUGGGGAGCGAACAGGAUUAGAUACCCUGGUAGUCCACGCCGUAAACGAUGAGUGCUAAGUGUUAGGGGGUUUCCGCCCCUUAGUGCUGCAGCUAACGCAUUAAGCACUCCGCCUGGGGAGUACGGUCGCAAGACUGAAACUCAAAGGAAUUGACGGGGGCCCGCACAAGCGGUGGAGCAUGUGGUUUAAUUCGAAGCAACGCGAAGAACCUUACCAGGUCUUGACAUCCUCUGACAACCCUAGAGAUAGGGCUUUCCCUUCGGGGACAGA
rnacentral:rRNA from 1 species